CCUACGGGAGGCAGCAGUGAGGAAUAUUGGUCAAUGGGCGGAAGCCUGAACCAGCCAAGUCGCGUGAGGGAAUAAGGCCCUACGGGUCGUAAACCUCUUUUGCCGGGGAGCAAGGGCGGGGACGUGUCCCGGCCCGGAGAGUACCCGGAGAAAAAGCAUCGGCUAAUCCCGUGCCAGCAGCCGCGGUAAUACGGAGGAUGGGGGGGUUAUCCGGAUUUAUUGGGUUAAAAGGGUGCGUAGGCGGGCUUUUAAGUCAGCGGUAAAAAUUCGGGGCUAAACCCCGUCCGGCCGUUGAAACUGGGGGCCUUGAGUGCGGGAGGGGCAGGCGGAAUUCCUGGUGUAGCGGUGAAAUGCGUAGAGAUUAGGAGGAACAC
rnacentral:rRNA from 1 species